UGUGUGUGUUAGUGGAAGCGUCUGGAAAGGCGCGCGAUACAGGGUGACAGCCCCGUACACAAAAAUGCACAUGCUGUGAGCUCGAUGAGUAGGGCGGGACACGUGGUAUCCUGUCUGAAUAUGGGGGGACCAUCCUCCAAGGCUAAAUACUCCUGACUGACCGAUAGUGAACCAGUACCGUGAGGGAAAGGCGAAAAGAACCCCGGCGAGGGGAGUGAAAAAGAACCUGAAACCGUGUACGUACAAGCAGUGGGAGCACGCUUAGGCGUGUGACUGCGUACCUUUUGUAUAAUGGGUCAGCGACUUAUAUUCUGUAGCAAGGUUAACCGAAUAGGGGAGCCGAAGGGAAACCGAGUCUUAACUGGGCGUUAAGUUGCAGGGUAUAGACCCGAAACCCGGUGAUCUAGCCAUGGGCAGGUUGAAGGUUGGGUAACACUAACUGGAGGACCGAACCGACUAAUGUUGAAAAAUUAGCGGAUGACUUGUGGCUGGGGGUGAAAGGCCAAUCAAACCGGGAGAUAGCUGGUUCUCCCCGAAAGCUAUUUAGGUAGCGCCUCGUGAAUUCAUCUCCGGGGGUAGAGCACUGUUUCGGCAAGGGGGUCAUCCCGACUUACCAACCCGAUGCAAACUGCGAAUACCGGAGAAUGUUAUCACGGGAGACACACGGCGGGUGCUAACGUCCGUCGUGAAGAGGGAAACAACCCAGACCGCCAGCUAAGGUCCCAAAGUCAUGGUUAAGUGGGAAACGAUGUGGGAAGGCCCAGACAGCCAGGAUGUUGGCUUAGAAGCAGCCAUCAUUUAAAGAAAGCGUAAUAGCUCACUGGUCGAGUCGGCCUGCGCGGAAGAUGUAACGGGGCUAAACCAUG
rnacentral:rRNA from 1 species